GACGAACGCUGGCGGCGUGCUUAACACAUGCCAGUCGAACGGUGAAGCGCCUUCCUUUUUGGUGGGUGUGGAUGAGUGGCGAACGGGUGAGUAACACGUGAGUAACCUGCCCCCUUCUUCUGGAUAACCGCAUGAAAGUGUGGCUAAUACGGGAUAUUCUGGGCCUGUCGCAUGAUGGGUCUGGGAAAGAUAUUGUUUCGGUGGGGGAUGGGCUCGCGGCCUAUCAGCUUGUUGGUGGGGUGAUGGCCUACCAAGGCGGUGACGGGUAGCCGGCCUGAGAGGGUGGACGGUCACACUGGGAGUGAGACACGGCCCAGACUCCUACGGGAGGCAGCAGUGGGGAAUAUUGCACAAUGGGCGCAAGCCUGAUGCAGCGACGCCGCGUGAGGGAUGGAGGCCUUCGGGUUGUGAACCUCUUUCGCCAGUGAAGCAGGCCUGCCUCGUUUGUGGGUGGGUUGACGGUAGCUGGAUAAGAAGCGCCGGCUAACUACGUG
rnacentral:rRNA from 1 species